GAUGAAGAACGUAGCGAAAUGCGAUAAGUAAUGUGAAUUGCAGAAUUCAGUGAAUCAUCGAAUCUUUGAACGCACAUUGCGCCCUUUGGUAUUCCGAAGGGCAUGCCUGUUCGAGCGUCAUUUCACCACUCAAGCCUGGCUUGGUAUUGGGCGCCGCGGUCGAUCCGCGCGCCUCAAAGUCUCCGGCUGAGCUGCCCGUCUCUAAGCGUUGUGAUUUCAUUAAUCGCUUCGGAGUGCGGGCGGCCGCGGCCGUUAAAUCUUUCACAAGGUUGACCUCGGAUCAGGUAGGGAUACCCGCUGAACUUAAGCAUAUCAAUAAGCGGAGGA
rnacentral:misc_RNA from 1 species